AAGACUAUAGACCUGCGGAGUACCUGCGGAAGGAUCAUUAACGUAUCUAUGAUGGGGUGCGGAGCGCCCUGCUCCGGUCGAACGGCCGUGCAGUGGGUGCGCCGCCCCCGUCCCACCUCACAAACCCACUGUGAACAUUCACCGGUGGAGGGGGCUCGGUCUGCGCCGUGUCCCCGAUGCCGAAUACCCAAACUCCGGUUGCAAAGAACGUCGUGCGGACUCGGUGCCGCCUAAAACAUG
rnacentral:misc_RNA from 1 species